GACAGAGGACGCAAGCGUUAUCCGGAAUUAUUGGGCGUAAAGCGUCCGUAGGGGGUUUGGCAAGUCUGGGGUUAAAGCCCGGAGCCUAACUCCGGAUCGGCCCUGGAAACUGCCAGACUAGAGUAAGGUAGGGGUUGCGUGAAUUCCCGGUGUAGCGGUGAAAUGCGUAGAUAUCGGGAAGAACACCAGUGGCGAAAGCGCGCAACUGGGCCAUUACUGACACUGAGGGACGAAAGCUAGGGGAGCGAAUGGG
rnacentral:rRNA from 1 species